ACAUCCAUGAAUUGUUUUGGACGUUUUGGACAAUAAGAAAACGACAGAAACUUAACAUUUAUGAUUAGCUGUUUCACUUUUUAUACCACGCUACUCUGUUUACACGAUGGCCAUGGGCCUGAAGGCACUGAGUACUUCUUCCAUGAAAAGCACAAGCAGGACCUAUAUACAGUUUGCCACAGUUGACAUGCCAGACUACAAAAUCUACAACAGGCACUGAUGUCCUUGCAGCUACAAAGCAG